AAUGAACGUUGGCGGCGUGGAUUAGGCAUGCAAGUCGAGCGAGACCCCAGCAAUGGGGAAAAGCGGCGAAAGGGACAGUAAUGUGUAGAUUAUCUGCCCUCAGGUCCGGGAUAGCUGCGGGAAACUGCAGGUAAUACCGGAUAACAUCUCCGGAUCAAAGGUGUGAUUCCGCCUGAGGAUGAGUCUACAUCCUAUUAGCUAGUUGGCAGGGUAAUGGCCUACCAAGGCAUUGAUGGGUAGCGGGUGUGAGAGCACGACCCGCGUCAUUGGGACUGAGACACUGCCCAGACACCUACGGGUGGCUG
rnacentral:rRNA from 1 species